ensembl:lncRNA
AUUUGCCAUGCAGCCAGGGAGCCUGAGAUUUGCUCUUGCUUGAGGGAGUCAGCCUGUAGGAGUCUGCCUCAAAAAGACCCUGCUCAGAGAAGAUUCAGGCCACAUGCUUGGCCUCGACACCCCUGGCACCUCAGCAUCUAGCUGCCGGCGUCUGGGAGCUUCGUUUAUGGAUUGCUCAAAGCAGACAGCAAAGCCGUGCCUUAAGACUCCUGAGGGAGGGCACGCUCCUGAGGGAGGGAGGGCACGCUCUCCCGUCUAGACAGGACAGCCAGUGUCAGCCAGGCUGUCUCCUCGCGGAGGCGCUGCACCAGCCCCAUAGGCAUAUCAGGGAGACGGAGAGCCCUGGAGACGCGACCUCUGUCCUGUUCACCUGGGGACCCAGACCUGUCACCAGCAGGACCGAGCUCAAGGCCAGAGGUGAUCUACAACAAGAUCUGAUCUAGAAGAAAAACGGCAGUGACCAACCUUUAAUAUCUCUGCAGACCACCUCACAGGGCUCACCUGCAUCACUGAAAAGAGGUAGAACAUUCCUCCAUGGAAAUCCUUCUGCCUGAAAUGCAAGAAAAUAGACUUGACAGUCAAGCUUUGUCAGGAGAAGAAUGUCUGAGUCCGUGUGUAUAUUCUCAGUCACUUCAGUCCUGUCCAACUCUUUGUGACCUUGUGGACCGUGGCCCGCCAGGCUCCUCUGUCCACAGGAUUCUCCAGGUGAGAAUAUUGGAGUGGGUUGCUAUGCCCUCCUCCAGGGGAUCCUCCUCCAGGGCAUAGAACCCACGUCUCCUGUGUCUCCUACAUUGUAGGUGGAUCCUUUUCUGCUGAGCCACUGGGG